AUUGAACGCUGGCGGCAUGCUUUACACAUGCAAGUCGAACGGUAACAGGCCGCAAGGUGCUGACGAGUGGCGAACGGGUGAGUAAUGCAUCGGAACGUGCCCAGUCGUGGGGGACAACGCCGCGAAAGCUGCGCUAAUACCGCAUACGAUCUAUGGAUGAAAGCGGGGGACCGUAAGGCCUCGCGCGAUUGGAGCGGCCGAUGUCGGAUUAGGUAGUUGGUGGGGGAAAGGCUCACCAAGCCAACGAUCUGUAGCUGGUCUGAGAGGACGACCAGCCACACUGGGACUGAGACACGGCCCAGACUCCUACGGGAGGCAGCAGUGGGGAAUUUUGGACAAUGGGCGCAAGCCUGAUCCAGCAAUGCCGCGUGCAGGAAGAAGGCCUUCGGGUUGUAAACUGCUUUUGUACGGAACGAAACGGCUCUGGUUAAUACCCGGGGCUAAUGACGGUACCGUAAGAAUAAGCACCGGCUAACUACGUGCCAGCAGCCGCGGUAACAC
rnacentral:rRNA from 1 species